rnacentral:rRNA from 1 species
GACGAACGCUGGCGGCGUGCUUAACACAUGCAAGUCGAACGCUGAAGCUCAGCUUUUGUUGGGUGGAUGAGUGGCGAACGGGUGAGUAACACGUGAGUAACCUGCCUCCUUCUUUGGGAUAACGCCCGGAAACGGGUGCUAAUACUGGAUAUUCACUGGUCUUCGCAUGGGGGUUGGUGGAAAGGGUUUUUCUGGUGGGGGAUGGGCUCGCGGCCUAUCAGCUUGUUGGUGGGGUGAUGGCCUACCAAGGCUUUGACGGGUAGCCGGCCUGAGAGGGUGACCGGUCACAUAGGCACUGGGAUACGGCCCAGACUCCUACGGGAGGAAGCAGUGGGGAAUAUUGCACAAUGGGGGCAAGCCUAAUGCAGCGACGCCGCGUGAGGGAUGGGGGCCUUCGGGUUGUGAACCUCUUUCGCUAAUGGUCAGGCCGAAACAAUGGUUGUGGUGAGGGUAGUGGGUAAAGAAGCGCCGGCUAACUACGUG